rnacentral:rRNA from 1 species
AUUGAACGCUGGCGGAAUGCUUUACACAUGCAAGUCGAACGGUAGAGGGGGCAACCCCUCGAGAGUGGCGAACGGGUGAGUAAUAUAUCGGAACGUGCCCAGUCGUGGGGAAUAACGUAGCGAAAGUUACGCUAAUACCGCAUACGAUCUAAGGAUGAAAGCGGGGGACCUGAGAGGGCCUCGCGCGAUUGGAGCGGCCGAUGGCAGAUUAGGUAGUUGGUGGGGUAAAGGCCUACCAAGCCUGCGAUCUGUAGCUGGUCUGAGAGGACGACCAGCCACACUGGGACUGAGACACGGCCCAGACUCCUACGGGAGGCAGCAGUGGGGAAUUUUGGACAAUGGGCGAAAGCCUGAUCCAGCCAUACCGCGUGUGGGAAGAAGGCCUUCGGGUUGUAAACCACUUUUGUCAGGGAAGAAAUGCUCUGGGCUAAUACCCUGGGGAGAUGACGGUACCUGAAGAAUAAGCACCGGCUAACUACGUGCCAGCAGCCGCGGUAA